CAGGUUUAUUAAGGAGUAAUUGACAGACAAAGUUGCACAUGUAUAACAUAUACUAUUUGAUGAGUUUGGACACAUGCAUACUCCUCGGAAACUAUCACCGCAAUCAAGGUAAAUUGCUUUGUGAUUCUUAACCUAAAUGGCAAUUAAACAAUCCUCUGGAUCCUGGAUCUUACUGAAUAUUCACUACUAAAGAGAUGACAACAUUUCAAUGAAGGGGGGAAUUAAAGGAAGACAAGGAUGCCGUGUUGACUGUAUAAAAUGGACUAUAACAUGAGAACAAAUAACUACGACAUUGUGCUACAAUCUACAGCAGGAAGACAGAUAACAGUGCAGAAGACAGAUAAUAGUGAGAAAGAAAAAGAAAGAUGAAAAUACACUCAAAAAUCAUAGCCCUUCUUUUUCAGGUAGGAUAUAGACAUGCCAAUAAGAAGGAUGACACAGGCAGGGUUAUAAAUCUACCAUCGCCACCAUCACCAUCUAAGGAGACCCCCAUACAUGAUGCCACUUUAAGAGGAGAGGCCCCCUCUCCAUGCCUUACCUGGAAUGUAUGCUUGAAGUCUUAGACUUAUUCAGAAGCUUCCUGAAACAGCUGCUUUACACAAACUGGAAGUGUGGGGGAGUUAAAAUGUUGUUGGAUUUCACACCCAUUAGAAUAACUACUAUUAAAAAAACCCCA
rnacentral:lncRNA from 1 species